ACCCUGAGAGAUAGCUCAGUUGGUAGAGCAUGAGACUGUUGGUCUCAGGGUUGUGAGUUUGAACCCCACGUUGGGUA